rnacentral:rRNA from 1 species
UACGUAGGGUGCAAGCGUUGUCCGGAAUUAUUGGGCGUAAAGAGCUCGUAGGCGGUUCGUCGCGUCGGCUGUGAAAACCCGGAGCUCAACUCCGGGCCUGCAGUCGAUACGGGCGGACUUGAGUGUUGCAGGGGAGACUGGAAUUCCUGGUGUAGCGGUGAAAUGCGCAGAUAUCAGGAGGAACACCGGUGGCGAAGGCGGGUCUCUGGGCCUUACCUGACGCUCAGGCGCGAAAGCGUGGGGAGCAAACAGG